CCCUUAAUGCAGCCGAAGGCGUUCACAAGCCCGCAGAAAUGCAGAGUGAGGA
rnacentral:ribozyme from 2 species